rnacentral:rRNA from 1 species
CCUACGGGCGGCAGCAGUGGGGAAUAUUGGACAAUGGGGGGAACCCUGAUCCAGCCAUGCCGCGUGUGUGAAGAAGGCCCUCGGGUUGUAAAGCACUUUCAGUGAGGAAGAACGCCUGGUGGUUAAUACCCAUCAGGAAAGACAUCACUCACAGAAGAAGCACCGGCUAACUCCGUGCCAGCAGCCGCGGUAAUACGGAGGGUGCGAGCGUUAAUCGGAAUUACUGGGCGUAAAGCGCGCGUAGGUGGCUUGAUAAGCCGGUUGUGAAAGCCCCGGGCUCAACCUGGGAACGACAUCCGGAACUGUCAAGCUAGAGUGCAGGAGAGGAAGGUAGAAUUCCCGGUGUAGCGGUGAAAUGCGUAGAGAUCGGGAGGAAUACCAGUGGCGAAGGCGGCCUUCUGGACUGACACUGACACUGAGGUGCGAAAGCGUGGGUAGCAAACAGGAUUAGAUACCCCAGUAGUC